rnacentral:lncRNA from 1 species
ACCCUUUUUUUUCUUUCCCCCGGUUGAGCCAGUCGGUUCAGACCGACAUCACUACUCAUAUGUGAGCAAGUGCGGAAGCAAACUGGAAAGAUGCCAACCACCGCUUGAUGUGGACAAUUCAGACGUCAUGUCGUGAUGGUGGAAGAAGAGCGGCAUCUUUCGCACUUGUUCCAAUGCUUUACUCAAAAAGGAAAAGCACUUGUUCU